GUUAGUGUGGCAGAGAUAGGUUAUGCAAAAGGUCUAAGCCCUUUCAACUUGGGUUCAAAUCCCCUCGCUAACU
rnacentral:tRNA from 1 species